rnacentral:rRNA from 1 species
UACGUAGGGGGGCUAGCGUUGUCCGGAUUUAUUGGGCGUAAAGAGCGUGUAGGCGGCCAGGUAGGUCUGCUGUGAAAACUCGAGGCUCAACCUCGAGACGUCGGCGGAAACCAUCUGGCUAGAGUCCGGAAGAGGAGAGUGGAAUUCCUGGUGUAGCGGUGAAAUGCGCAGAUAUCAGGAAGAACACCCGUGGCGAAGGCGGCUCUCUGGGACGGUACUGACGCUGAGACGCGAAAAGCGUGGGGGAGCGAACAGG